rnacentral:rRNA from 1 species
GAUGAACGCUGGCGGCGUGCCUAAUACAUGCAAGUCGAGCGAACGGACGAGAAGCUUGCUUCUCUGAUGUUAGCGGCGGACGGGUGAGUAACACGUGGAUAACCUACCUAUAAGACUGGGAUAACUUCGGGAAACCGGAGCUAAUACCGGAUAAUAUUUUGAACCGCAUGGUUCAAAAGUGAAAGACGGUCUUGCUGUCACUUAUAGAUGGAUCCGCGCUGCAUUAGCUAGUUGGUAAGGUAACGGCUUACCAAGGCAACGAUGCAUAGCCGACCUGAGAGGGUGAUCGGCCACACUGGAACUGAGACACGGUCCAGACUCCUACGGGAGGCAGCAGUAGGGAAUCUUCCGCAAUGGGCGAAAGCCUGACGGAGCAACGCCGCGUGAGUGAUGAAGGUCUUCGGAUCGUAAAACUCUGUUAUUGGGGAAGAACAUAUGUGUAAGUAACUGUGCACAUCUUGACGGUACCUAAUCAGAAAGCCACGGCUAACUACGUGUCAGCAGCCGCGGUAAUACGUAGGUGGCAAGCGUUAUCCGGAAUUAUUGGGCGUAAAGCGCGCGUAGGCGGUUUUUUAAGUCUGAUGUGAAAGCCCACGGCUCAACCGUGGAGGGUCAUUGGAAACUGGAAAACUUGAGUGCAGAAGAGGAAAGUGGAAUUCCAUGUGUAGCGGUGAAAUGCGCAGAGAUAUGGAGGAACACCAGUGGCGAAGGCGACUUUCUGGUCUGUAACUGACGCUGAUGUGCGAAAGCGUGGGGAUCAAACAGGAUUAGAUACCCUGGUAGUCCACGCCGUAAACGAUGAGUGCUAAGUGUUAGGGGGUUUCCGCCCCUUAGUGCUGCAGCUAACGCAUUAAGCACUCCGCCUGGGGAGUACGACCGCAAGGUUGAAACUCAAAGGAAUUGACGGGGACCCGCACAAGCGGUGGAGCAUGUGGUUUAAUUCGAAGCAACGCGAAGAACCUUACCAAAUCUUGACAUCCUUUGACAACUCUAGAGAUAGAGCUUUCCCCUUCGGGGGACAAAGUGACAGGUGGUGCAUGGUUGUCGUCAGCUCGUGUCGUGAGAUGUUGGGUUAAGUCCCGCAACGAGCGCAACCCUUAAGCUUAGUUGCCAUCAUUAAGUUGGGCACUCUAAGUUGACUGCCGGUGACAAACCGGAGGAAGGUGGGGAUGACGUCAAAUCAUCAUGCCCCUUAUGAUUUGGGCUACACACGUGCUACAAUGGACAAUACAAAGGGCAGCGAAACCGCGAGGUCAAGCAAAUCCCAUAAAGUUGUUCUCAGUUCGGAUUGUAGUCUGCAACUCGACUACAUGAAGCUGGAAUCGCUAGUAAUCGUAGAUCAGCAUGCUACGGUGAAUACGUUCCCGGGUCU